GACAGAGGGUGCGAACGUUGCUCGGAAUUACUGGGCGUAAAGCGUGCGCAGGCGGUUAUGCAAGACAGAUGUGAAAUCCCCGGGCUCAACCUGGGAACUGCAUUUGUGACUGCAUGGCUAGAGUACGGUAGAGGGGGAUGGAAUUCCGCGUGUAGCAGUGAAAUGCGUAGAUAUGCGGAGGAACACCGAUGGCGAAGGCAAUCCCCUGGACCUGUACUGACGCUCAUGCACGAAAGCGUGGGGAGCAAACAGG
rnacentral:rRNA from 1 species